rnacentral:rRNA from 1 species
GAAUAUUGGACAAUGGGGGCAACCCUGAUCCAGCGAUGCCGCGUAGGUGAAGAAGGCCUUCGGGUUGUAAAGCCCUUUAGGUUGGGAAGAAGGGUGUUGGGUGAAUAGCCUGAUACUUUGACGGUCCCAACAGACUAAGCACCGGCCAACUCUGUGCCAGCAGCCGCGGUAAUACAGAGGGUGCGAGCGUUAAUCGAAAUUACUGGGCGUAAAGGGCGCGUAGGCGGUGAGAUGUGUGGGAUGUGAAAGCCCUGGGCUUAACCUGGGAAGUGCAUACCAAACUAUCUUACUGGAGUAGAGCAGAGGGUGGCGGAAUUUCCGGUGUAGCGGUGAAAUGCGUAGAGAUCGGAAGGAACGUCAAUGGCGAAGGCAGCCACCUGGGCUCAUACUGACGCUGAGGCGCGAAAGCGUGGGGAGCGAACAGG